rnacentral:rRNA from 1 species
UACGGGGGGGGCAAGCGUUGUUCGGAAUUACUGGGCGUAAAGGGCUCGUAGGCGGCCAACUAAGUCAGACGUGAAAUCCCUCGGCUUAACCGGGGAACUGCGUCUGAUACUGGAUGGCUUGAGAUUGGGAGAGGGAUGCGGAAUUCCACGUGUAGCGGUGAAAUGCGUAGAUAUGUGGAGGAACACCUGUGGCGAAGGCGCCUUGCUGGCCAAUUUCUGACGCUGAGGCGCGAAAGCGUGGGGAGCGAACAGG